UGGGGGAUAUUGCACAAUGGGCGAAAGCCUGAUGCAGCGACGCCGCGUGGGGGAUGAAGGCCUUCGGGUUGUAAACUUCUUUUGCUCUGAACAAGGCAUGCCUUUGGGGUGUGUUGAGUGUAGGGGUUGAUUAGCGCCGGCUAACUACGUGCCAGCAGCCGCGGUAAUACGUAGGGCGCGAGCGUUGUCCGGAAUUAUUGGGCGUAAAGGGCUUGUAGGUGGCUGGUUGCGUCUGUCGUGAAAGCUCAUGGCUUAACUGUGGGUUUGCGGUGGGUACGGGCUGGCUUGAGUGCAGUAGGGGAGGCUGGAAUUCCUGGUGUAGCGGUGGAAUGCGCAGAUAUCAGGAGGAAUACCGGUGGCGAAGGCGGGUCUCUGGGAUGUUACUGACGCUGAGGAGCGAAAGCGUGGGGAGCGAACAGG
rnacentral:rRNA from 1 species